AUACUUACCUGGACGGGGUCUAUGGUCGAUCAUGAAGGAUCAUGGCCUAGGUAGGCGGUCUCCAUUGCACUCAGGAGAUGCGCCAGCCUAACAUCUCCCCAAGUGGGAGAGUGUACGUCAUAAUUUGUGACAGCGGGGGCCUGCGUUCGCGCGGCCCCUAC
rfam:Vitis vinifera, whole genome shotgun sequence of line PN40024, unoriented chromosome 18, chr18